rnacentral:lncRNA from 1 species
GGUUUGUCUUCCUCUCCUGUCUAUCUAUACAUGAAAACAGAGGUGAAAAAUUAAAAUGAUUUUCCUGAUCAUUCAGGCUAAAAAUAUACCUUUAUCUCAAUAAUCUGAAUAUUUCAGGUGAAAGACAUUGAGUCCAAUUUACCCAGGUACUUAAUUGCCUCAAUUCCCUCCCCCCUUUCCUUUUAUGUUUAUAGAUCCACACAAACUGCUUGAAGGUAUUUUGUUAGGAAAUAUUUUUCUUUCCUAGAUAACAGCAGAGCCUCAGACCAUAGAGUUUAAACUGUAGAAUCCCUCUUUGAAUUAUUGUUUUAUUUUCUUUGAGGAUUUCUCUGGCUCUUUCUAUAAGGGAUAUCACAGAGCUUAAAAGCCCCAAACUACCCCCUCCCCAAUUAUUUAUCCUGGAGAAUUUACCUAGCCAGUUGAACAGUGAAGUCAAUUCUUGACUAGUUUUUUAAUUCUCUAUUUUUGAUUUGGAACAAAUUGAAGUACAUUUUCAUGUUAGUGAAAAGCAAUAAAUGGAAAGAAUCCAGGUCAGCAGAGGGAGAAUUUCAGGAAGUUCUGCCUGGAUCAUGGCUACUGUUAUGCUCGGCUAUUUGAGAUCAAUUCAUUUGUUUCAGCUGUCGACAAAAGUCAAUCUCAGCACAACCAGUCAAAAGCCCUGAAUUGAUUGGUUUUUAUUGCCCGGCGUUUUUCAUUAUAUAAAUAUCACAUCUCAUGCCCCUUUCCCACAGAUGCCCAUAGUAUAGAGGAACGAUAAGCAAAUUUCAUGAACUAGGUUCCUGUUUAUGCUUUUAUGGUCAAGGCUAAAUAAACAUUUAUCCUAAAAUCUUCUAUUUGUGGAUCUUGGAGAUGACGACAGGACCUGAAAAGAUGAUCUGGUUUAACUGCUUGCCUUCCCACAGACUGGUGAUUCACACUGGACGUCUGGAGGCAGGGAUGGCAUUCAAGCAGGUUGGAGGGAGCAGUUUUGAAGCAAGGACAAACAAGGAGAAAUGUCACCUCCUCAUCCACCACACAGUCAUGGGGCCAGUUGGCCACCCACAUGUUCAUCUGGGCAUCCUUUUUCUGGUCUCUCAGACUGAUGUCAACCUUGCAUUUGCCCUUCCAGGGGGCUUUCUUUCCCAGACUCAUUUUGGACCAUAGGUUCUAGCAAAAUAAUACAGCUCUCAGACCCAUUACAGUCCUACCCCACCAGGAAUACCUCCCCAAGUUGCCAAGGUUACAGCUUCAGACUUUUCUAAUUGGUUACUCUGAAGAGCUCCUGGUACCUCUGAGCAUCAGCAUCCUGAACCUGUCUUCUUGAAGAUGUUGUGAGGGUCCCGGUGAUGCUGAAACUUGAGGGAAUCAUGUUCUACCAGUAUCUUAGAGGAAUUGAACUUACAGGGAAAUCAAGUAGUGUGCUGGGGAUGUAAGUAGGCAACAGUGAAGACUUUGGUGUAUGAUAUGACAUAAAGGAGAUCUUCCAGGACACAUGCUGGAAAAGGAGGGGGGGCAGUCCCCUUUCCCAGACUCUCAUAAUUCUAGUUCCACUCUUCUCUUAAUUCUAUUUAUUCUGUAUGUAGCUUAUUCAUAUGUAUAUAUUUGUGAGCUCCAUGAGGAUAUUUAUAUCUCCAUAGUUUAGCACAGUGACUGGCACAUAGAAAAAUGUAAUAAAUACUGACUGAUUGUGUGUUUAUAUACA